UACGUUCCCGGGCCUUGUACACACCGCCCGUCACACCACGAAAGCGAGUAACCACCCGAAGCCGGUGGCCUAACCGCAACGGAGGGAGCCGUCGAAGGUGGGACCCGUGAUUGGGUCGG
rnacentral:rRNA from 1 species